CCUGGGAAGUCGUCAAGCCACUCA
rnacentral:snRNA from 1 species